ensembl:lncRNA
AGCCAAUUCACCAGAGUGGCACAAUUAAAAUCUUUGGGCCAAAUCCUCCUUGUUCUCUUCAUGUAUGCAACGCUUUUGAGAGUAAAGGGAUGAGUGAGAGCAGCGUUUAAGCUGUACAUUAAUAAUGUAUGUCCUUCGGAUGGCAGGGAAGGGGCUGGCAGAACAAAUGGAAGCACCCUGGGAGAUGAAACUGUCCGCGGCCAGAAUUGUUCUAUCUGGCUCUCACAUGCCAGGAGCAUUCAUCAUGACCUGCAGCAUCCACUCCUCCCUGGUGGUCCCCUCUGGAGCUGCCCUGACACAUUUGAAAGCACUUUACAAAUAACAGUGAUCUUUCACUGAUGCACGGUAUGCCAAGAACAAGAUCAGCUCAGGAAGAUGGACAAAGAACCACUGCUGCUCUCCUGCUUCGCAAAUGCAAUAGGGAAGAAACAAGAACGACCCCUUCAAUGACUGCUUUUCUUCGCAUCUCAGAGAACACCUGUCUCCAAGCAAAUAGAGCAGCAGGAGCAGUGUGAAUCCUCUUCCCUUCUCAUUUUAAUGAGGUGUUAAUAUCAGAGGCUGAUAGAGAUUAUGUAAG